UACGUAGGGUGCAAGCGUUGUCCGGAAUUACUGGGCGUAAAGCGUGCGCAGGCGGUUCGUUGUGUCGGCGGUGAAAGCCCCGGGCUUAACCUGGGAAUGGCCGUUGAAACUGGCGAACUGGAGUGUGGCAGAGGGGGGUGGAAUUCCGCGUGUAGCAGUGAAAUGCGUAGAGAUGCGGAGGAACACCGAUGGCGAAGGCAGCCCCCUGGGCUAACACUGACGCUCAGGCACGAAAGCGUGGGGAGCAAACAGG
rnacentral:rRNA from 1 species